ACACCCAGUUGAUAGGAAGGAAAUCAAAACGAUGAGCUUUUGCUACCCAGUCAGCAACCCGAUUAGAAUUCCUAUUACAGUGAGCUAAAGAGAGACCCGAAAUAGUCUUCAAUUUGUGCUUGGCCCAGUCCACAAGGGGAUCCACUAACCAAUUUAAAAUAGAGGACGACAGUACACUGUCCACUAGCAACCGACAGUCAGAUAAAAAAAUCAAUUCUUUUUCUGGGGACUUUGGGAUUAGGGUUGAAGAGAUAAAAUCUAGGGUUUCAACCAAAGCGACGGCCUCGGCUUGCUCAGCCGAGCUUACCUCAAUAUGUUUUGCAAAGCCAUCUCGAAUCAUCCCAAAAGAAUCUCUGCAGACACAAGCAAUAGCAGCCCGAGGUCUUGAUCUUGGAUGCUGAAGACCAAAAGGAGCAGAUCUGGUCUGCGAGGAGUUGAAGCCUACUGUCGUUCUCUCUCCACAUGGGGUGUGGCCCAUUGCCGAGGGUAAAGGUCUGCUUGAGGCUCGAUGCGAGGGACGAGGUCUGGGAUGCGGGGAUUCGCCUGCUUCACCAACCCAGACGCGUGGAUCCAUCCUGCCUUCUUCCCUCUCUUCCAAUUCAUAAUGCCUUCCAUGGUGAGGGUCGGCAAUGGUACUAAGCUGUUGUUGCUGUGGUGGGUAUUCAGAUCUGGUAGAUCUGAGGUUUCCUUCUUCGGUUUCAGAGGCAGCAGACGUGCCGAGAGUCAGAGGAAAGUCCUCUGAUUCUUCUGAAUCGCAAGGCUUGCCAUGGUGAGCGUCUUUCUUGGGUCUUCCGAGCUGCAGAGUCAAACGCAAAGCGAACUAGUCACGGGCUGGAUCCAUAUGACACGGCCCAACAGAUGGACGCAUUUUAGAAGUUUCUCAAGCACUGGGCGUGACGAGCAAAUGACCCUUGAGCUUCCCAAAACCCUAGGCCCUCUUGAGUGAUAUUGUACAACUAUGUAAUGAUUAGGGAAUAUUUAAACCCCACCGUUAGAUCUAAGAAGAGAUCUAUGGCUGAGAUUGGCCCC
rnacentral:lncRNA from 1 species